GACUCUCGGCAACGGAUAUCCCGGCUCUCGCAUCGAUGAAGAACGUAGCGAAAUGCGAUACUUGGUGUGAAUUGCAGAAUCCCGUGAACCAUCGAGUUUUUGAACGCAAGUUGCGCCCGAUGCCAUUAGGCUGAGGGCACGUCUGCCUGGGUGUCACGUA
rnacentral:rRNA from 1 species